rnacentral:rRNA from 1 species
GCGCAGCAGGCGAGAAACCUUCGCAAUGCAGGAAACUGCGACGAGGGAACUCCAAGUGCCUACGCUCAGCGUAGGCUGUUCUCAAGCCUAGAAAGCUUGAGGAGUAAGGGCUGGGUAAGACGGGUGCCAUCUGUGGUAGCAGUCAAUAGAUUCGAUUUGUUACUGCAAGGCAUAAGCCGCCGCGGUAAUACCCGCAGCCCAAGUGGUGGCCGCUUUUAUUGGGCCUAAAGCGUCCGUAGCCGGCCCGGUAAAUGCCUGGGUAAAUCGUGGAGCCCAACUUCACGAAUUCCGGGUAGACUGCCGAGCUCGGGACCGGAAGAGGGAGAGGGUACUUCGAGGGGUAGGGGUGAAAAUUUCCGUUUCCAUUAACGCUUUGCGCGAAGCGGAAAGGGUUA